rnacentral:tRNA from 3 species
GGGGCUAUAGCUCAAUUGGGAGAGCGCUUGGAUGGCAUCCAAGAGGUUCGGGGUUCGAUCCCCCGUAGCUCCACCA